UAUCACAUUAAAACACCGAAGUUAAGCGACGUCGGGCCUGUUGAGUAUGUAGAUGAGUGGCCGCUUGGGAAGAUCAUGUGCUGUAAG